rnacentral:rRNA from 1 species
GAUCAUGGCUCAGGACGAACGCUGGCGGCGUGCUUAACACAUGCAAGUCGAACGGGGCGCUUAUGAUGGAGAUUUCGGUCAACGGAUUAAGUUGCCUAGUGGCGGACGGGUGAGUAACGCGUGAGUAACCUGCCUUUCAGAGGGGGACAACAGUUGGAAACGACUGCUAAUACCGCAUAAUAUAUAUGGACCGCAUGAUCUGUAUAUCAAAGAUUUAUCGCUGAAAGAUGG